UACAAAGUUUCGUCUUCCAUGAGA
rnacentral:siRNA from 1 species